rnacentral:rRNA from 1 species
AACGAACGUUCGCGGCGCGCCUAACACAUGCAAGUCGAGCGAGAAAGGGCUUCGGCCCCGGUACAGCGGCGCACGGGUGAGUAACACGUAGGCAAUCUGCCCCUGAGUGGGGGAUAACCUUCCGAAAAGAGGGCUAAUACCGCAUGAGACCACGACCCCGCGAGGGGAUGAGGUCAAAGCCGGCCACUUCAUGAAAGCUGGCGCUUGGGGAUGAGCCUGCGGCCCAUCAGCUAGUUGGUAGGGUAAUGGCCUACCAAGACAUAGACGGGUAGCUGGCCUGAGAGGAUGGUCAGCCAGACUGGAACUGAGACACGGUCCAGCCGCCUACGGGAGGCAGCAGUGGGGAAUCUUGCGCAAUGGGCGAAAGCCUGACGCAGCGACGCCGCGUGAGUGAUGAAGACCUUCGGGUUGUAAAGCUCUGUGGAGGGAAACGAAUAAGGCAUGGCUAACAUCCAUGUUGAUGACGGUAUCCCUUUAGCAAGCACCGGCUAACUCUGUGCCAGCCGCCGCGGUAAGAC